rnacentral:rRNA from 1 species
UACGGAGGGGACUAGCGCUGUUCGGAAUUACUGGGCGUAAAGCGCACGUAGGCGGAUUUGUAAGUCAGGGGUGAAAUCCCGGGGCUCAACCCCGGAACUGCCUUUGAUACUGCGAAUCUCGAGUCCGGAAGAGGUGAGUGGAAUUCCUAGUGUAGAGGUGAAAUUCGUAGAUAUUAGGAAGAACACCAGUGGCGAAGGCGGCUCACUGGUCCGGUACUGACGCUGAGGUGCGAAAGCGUGGGGAGCAAACAGG